rnacentral:lncRNA from 1 species
ACAGAGCCUGCCUGUUGGUCUCUACCCACAGGGGAUCCCCUGCUGCUCCACCAUCAGAUUUGGGACACCACCCCCCCCCCGGCCCCACCAGAGGGCAUCAGCUAUGCCUAGCAAUUACGCCCCCGUGGCUAAAUUAAACUCCCAUUGGCUAAAUUAGGCUCGAAGAGAGGGGCACCUGCUGCUAAGCUGUGUAUGUUGUCCCCUAGGACUCCCACCGUUUGCUGAGCUCCACAUGACAACAGCAGACGACAGGCCGCACUGAUCCCACCUGGCUUACAGGUGCUGUCACACAGGACUGCUGACUAAACACUUUCAAGCACAGUGGACCCUUGAACAACGCAGGUUCAAACUGUGCAGGUCCACCCACAGGGAUGUUUUUCAAUCAGAGUUAUACCAAGUGUCCCUGCCUCUCCUGCCUCCCUUCCCACUUCCUCCAUGUCUUCCUCUCUGCCACCCUGAGGCAGCAAGACCAGCCCCUCCUCCUCAGCCACUCAACAUGAAGACAACGAGGAUGAAGACUUCUAUGAUAAUCCACUUCCACUUAGUAAAUGCUUUCUCUUAUGAUAUUCUUAAUGACAUUUUAUUUUCCCAAGCUUAGUUUAUUGUAAGAAUACAGUAUAAAUAC